CGGCCAAUCAGGGCUGUGAACAGCCAGGGUUCUGGUGCAAAUUAUAAGAACUUGGCUAUUGUUGCCUUGGGCUGGAGA